GACGAACGCUGGCGGCGUGCUUAACACAUGCAAGUCGAACGGAAAGGCCCUGCUUUUGUGGGGUGCUCGAGAGGCGAACGGGUGAGUAACACGUGAGUAACCUGCCCUUGACUUUGGGAUAACUUCAGGAAACUGGGGCUAAUACCGGAUAGGAGCUCCUGCUGCAUGGUGGGGGUUGGAAAGUUUCGGCGGUUGGGGAUGGACUCGCGGCUUAUCAGCUGGUUGGUGGGGUAGUGGCUUACCAAGGCUUUGACGGGUAGCCGGCCUGAGAGGGUGACCGGCCACAUUGGGACUGAGAGACGGCCCAGACGCCUACGGGAGGCAGCAGUGGGGAAUAUUGCACAAUGGGCGGAAGCCUGAUGCAGCAACGCCGCGUGCGGGAUGACGGCCUUCGGGUUGUAAACCGCUGUCGCCUGUGACGAAGCGUGAGUGACGGUAAUGGGUAAAGAAGCACCGGCUAACUACGUG
rnacentral:rRNA from 1 species